CGAUAUCAAAUAGAAAUAAAAAUAUUUUUUUAAGAUUAAGAGACAAACGAUUCGAAAAUGAAAUUUAUAUCACUAAAAAGGAAAUAUUUUGUUUGACGAUAGUUCAACGUCUGUAAGAUUCUCUUUCCUCUGACUGAAUGGCCUUUUGAUCAACAAACCAGCUCCAGAUGAUUUCUUAUAACAUUUUGCAACUCCAUUUUUAGCUAUGCGAAACAAGGUAUGAAGCAAUUGUAAUUUCGUAUGAUGGUUUGUUUACAUCUGACUACUGCCAUUCGACGAGCAAGUAAUAAGAGCGAUCUCUAUGCCACAAUUAAGAGAGAGGUAAGUCUUAUCACUGACUCCCCGACCCACCCGAAGACACUCGGAUAAUAAAUACUGAAUGACCAGACCGCUGCUACAGCAACGCUGGCAGGAAUAAUGGUUGAAUCCUAAGGGCCAUCACCAGGCACGAUACAACCUUCCUUAAGGAAAUGCGUCCCAUCAUCGAUGGGUGGAGCCAGACCCCCACCUUUUCGUGUACCCUCCAGGGUGGCGAGAACCAACCACCAUGCCAGAAGCUUCUCAUCCUCAUUUCGAAGUGCCCUCCAGGGGGGUUAACAGAGAUAAUAUAUCCAGUAUGUAUUUUAUGGGGACAUAGGAGAGUAUUUGACUUUUUGCUUCUAUAUGGCAAUGUUUACAACAAUUACCCAAAAUUGAGUCUCCGAAUAUUAAUACAUCCGAAUCAGCGAAAUCACAUUUCUUCUAAUCUAUAAAUUUUUAAUCAAGUUUUACUUAUGAGUUCUGAAAUGCAUUGUUAUUAGAUUGCUUUUUAGUCAUUCCUAAUGAAGAUGCUAGUGAAAAAUAUGAAAUGGAAUUUUUAGAUUCUUUCCA